CUACGGGAGGCAGCAGUAGGGAAUAUUGGUCAAUGGGUGAGAGCCUGAACCAGCCAUGCCGCGUGCAGGAAGACGGCCUUCUGGGUUGUAAACUGCUUUUAUCUGGGGAUAAAAAGCCCAUGCGUGGGACAUUGAAGGUACCAGAUGAAUAAGCACCGGCUAACUACGUGCCAGCAGCCGCGGUAAUACGUAGGGUGCAAGUGUUGUCCGGAUUUAUUGGGUUUAAAGGGUGCGUAGGCGGCCUGUUAAGUCAGUGGUGAAAUCCAACAGCUCAACUGUUGAUGUGCCAAUGAUACUGACAGGCUUGAGUACAGACGAGGUAGGCGGAAUUGACAGUGUAGCGGUGAAAUGCAUAGAUAUUGUCAAGAACACCGAUAGCGAAGGCAGCUUGCUAGCCUGUAACUGCCGCUGAGGCACGAAAGUAUGGGAUCAAACAGGAUUAGAAACCCUAGUAGUCC
rnacentral:rRNA from 1 species